GACGAACGCUGGCGGCGUGCUUAACACAUGCAAGUCGAGCGGAGCGGCGAACGGGUGAGUAACGCGUGAGUAACUGCCCCCCUCUCUGGGAUAACAGUUGGAAACGGCUGCUAAUACCGGAUAGUGGGGGGUGACUCGCGUCCUAUGAGCUUGUUGGUGGGGUAGUGGCUUACGAAGUCGAGGACGGGUAGCCGGCCUGGGAGGGCGACCGGCCACAGUGGGCUGAGAUACGGACCAAACUCCGACGGGCGGCAGUAGUGGGGAAUAUUGCACAAUGGUGGAAACUCUGAUGCAGGAACGCCGCGUGCGGGAUGACGGCCUUCGGGUUGUAAACCGCUUUCAGCCAUGACGCGGUAGUGGCAGAAGAAGCACCGGCUAACUACGUGCCAGCAGCCGCGGUAAUUC
rnacentral:rRNA from 1 species